rnacentral:rRNA from 1 species
GGAAUUACUGGGCGUAAAGCGCACGCAGGCGGUUGAUUGAGUCAGAUGUGAAAUCCCCGGGCUUAACCCGGGAAUUGCAUCUGAUACUGGUCAGCUAGAGUCUUGUAGAGGGGGGUAGAAUUCCAUGUGUAGCGGUGAAAUGCGUAGAGAUGUGGAGGAAUACCGGUGGCGAAGGCGGCCCCCUGGACAAAGACUGACGCUCAGGUGCGAAAGCGUGGGGAGCAAACAGGAUUAGAUACCCUGGUAGUCCACGCUGUAAACGAUGUCGACUUGG